rnacentral:tRNA from 1 species
CUAAGGAAUAUACGGAGGCUACACAUACUUUGUCGAAACAAUGGUCAGUUUUGAGGGGUCUACCCUCAUAAUUAUAUGAUUUUACUAAAUGAUUUUGGGCGUAUAGCUCAGCUGGUUUAGAGCGCACGCCUGAUAAGCGUGAGGUCGAUGGUUCGAGUCCAUUUAUGCCCAUUGACCGCAAGGUCAUCAUUUUGGGGAAUUAGCUCAGAUGGGAGAGCACCUGCUUUGCAAGCAGGGGGUCAGCGGUUCGAUCCCGCUAUUCUCCAUUGGUGCGAAAGCAUCAAGGAAUUUGUUCUUUGAAAACUAGAUAUUAUCAAUUAUUUUCCUUUAAUUAUUAAGAUAAUUAAACCGAGAAACAACUGCGUAUUUUUGAGCUUUUUAAUUAGUUUAUAUCGCUAAUACUCAAUUAAUCAGCGAUUACGAAGUAAUCGUUA